rnacentral:rRNA from 1 species
AGCGGCGGACGGGUGAGUAAUGCUUAGGAAUCUGCCAUUUAGUGGGGGACAACAUUCCGAAAGGGAUGCUAAUACCGCAUACGUCCUACGGGAGAAAGCAGGGGAUCUUCGGACCUUGCGCUAAAUGAUGAGCCUAAGUCGGAUUAGCUAGUUGGUGGGGUAAAGGCCUACCAAGGCGACGAUCUGUAGCGGGUCUGAGAGGAUGAUCCGCCACACUGGGACUGAGACACGGCCCAGACUCCUACGGGAGGCAGCAGUGGGGAAUAUUGGACAAUGGGCGGAAGCCUGAUCCAGCCAUGCCGCGUGUGUGAAGAAGGCCUUUUGGUUGUAAAGCACUUUAAGCGAGGAGGAGGCUACCUAGAUUAAUACUCUGGGAUAGUGGACGUUACUCGCAGAAUAAGCACCGGCUAACUCUGUGCCAGCAGCCGCGGUAAUACAGAGGGUGCGAGCGUUAAUCGGAUUUACUGGGCGUAAGGCGUGCGUAGGCGGCUGAUUAAGUCGGAUGUGAAAUCCCUGAGCUUAACUUAGGAAUUGCAUUCGAUACUGGUCAGCUAGAGUAUGGGAGAGGAUGGUAGAAUUCCAGGUGUAGCGGUGAAAUGCGUAGAGAUCUGGAGGAAUACCGAUGGCGAAGGCAGCCAUCUGGCCUAAUACUGACGCUGAGGUACGAAAGCAUGGGGAGCAAACAGGAUUAGAUACCCUGGUAGUCCAUGCCGUAAACGAUGUCUACUAGC